UCCCCUAGGGGAAAUUCAUAUUGAAGGGAUAUGUUAUGUUUACUACUAUAUGCAUUGUAUGAUUAAAAAGGCAAAUCAGCCUUGAACUGAUGAUUAUGAUUGUUUAUGAACAUUGUGACACUGAUUGCCGUUUGAGAUUGCAGAAUGAUGUACAGGGACAGACAAGAAAGUACAAGUAUGACAUGUUUAGAUAACAGGUUCAGGUCAGAGUGAUGUGAGGAGAGAAGAGGUGGAGUGACCCUGUUACACAGAGAAUGUGUGUAUAAGAAUGAAUGACUAAAACAAGGAAGUACUGCAAUCUGUUUAGGCGAGACGAGAGCAGGGUGAGUCCAGAGCUCUGUAAGCAAUCUCAAACUUAUAUGCUUGACUAUACUUUUAAUAAAUUAGAUGUGUUAAACUUUAAAAACUGUGUCCUGCAUACUUCAUCAAACAAACAAGGUUUGCCGCGAAAUAAUGGUGGAUUCAACAAUUUGGUGACCCCGACGUGAUGAAGGCAGGAUGGUAAUUUGCGCGACCAAUUGUUAAAAGGAAAUAUUUUUGUUAACAGAGGAUACAGACAAGUGGAACAUGGAAGACAACGAGAGGCGUCUAACUGAAAACACAGCGGUAAGCAUAAACCUGUUUUAUCGAAAAACUGCAGAUUGGCGUUGACAAAAUUAAGUCGUAUUGAAACUGUUCCUAUUGUCUGUUGUAUGGUUUAUAGCACGAAGAUUGAGAUUGCUACCGCGAUCGGAGGAAGGGUCCCUGGGUGAUUAGCACGCCGCGUGGGUGUCUCCAGGGAGAUUGCGGACGCCAGACGUACACCAGUGACUGACGACUGGGUGACGCUGCUGGGGGGGAGAUCGAUAAAGCAACCCUUCAGGAUCCAAGAUCCGGUGAGAAGGGAACUACCAGUUCUGGUACAAUGAGCAUUUAAGAUCAUUUGAGCUGACAUCACCAGAUAAGUUGUCCACCAGCUGUCAGAACUAAAUGACACAAUCUGUGCCGAGUUUCAUAGAAUCACCAACGUGAACCUGAAGAACCAUUUCUAUGACUGACAUGCCCCUCGUCUUCAGAACCUUUUCAGGAAGAAAACUGCUUGCACGGGGAAAGAGUCUGAAGUUCUGGGUCAGCUCUUCAAGAUUUAUGACCUCCAGGUCAUUUGGUUACACUUCUUGAUUCCUGAUAAAUAUAGCACAGUGGAUUUUGGAUUUAUCUUUAGUUAUAUAUAUACUGUUAUAUUUCUAAUUUUGUAAGGAAAAAACUCCCUUUAACAGGAAGAAACCUCCAACAGAACCAGGCUUAGGGUGGGGUGAGGGGGGGGUCUGCCUCGACUUGGAUGGGUUUGAUAGGAGAAAGGGGGUCGAGGAAGUGAGAGAGAGAGUGUCCAUGAAUAGCAGUAUACAGUAAACUGAUGAUUUUUAAUGGUAACAGAAAAUAAUAACAGUUAUACCCAUAGGAAAUGGUGAUACUGUGCAAUACUAGUAGAUAAAUAAAUUGAUUAAUUACAAUAAUCAUAAUAAUAACGAUGAUUAAUGAGUCUUAAAUAUCUAGGUAGGGAAUGGUUCCUUUUCCACAGAAUUCACUCUGAUGUACCUCCAUGUUUCUACAGGAGCAUAAUUUGCACUUGGACUUCCGUUACUCUAAGGGAAUACCAUAAAGCACUAAAAAGGAGUUUUUUGUUGUAGUUUUAUUUAUUUUGAAAACAUUUUAUAGAUCUGUUUUUAAACUAUUCUUGUUCAACUUGUUUGAAUGUGUUACUGCUCAAAUUGAAUGAUGGCGUGUUUACA